AUACUUACCUGGUAGGGGAGAUACCAUGAUCCCGAAGGUGGUUUUCCCAGGGCGAGGCUUAUCCAUUGCACUGCGGAUGUGCUGACCCCUGCAAUUUCCCCAAAUGUGGGAAACUCGACUGCAUAAUUUGUGGUAGUGGGGGACUGCGUUCGCGCUCUUCCAGC
rnacentral:snRNA from 1 species